rnacentral:RNase_P_RNA from 1 species
AGUGGGAUGAAUGAUCGCUGCUUUGUCCGCAAGGGCAUUGGAGAGGAAAGUCCGGGCUUCGCAGGGCAGGAUGCCGGAUAACGUCCGGUGGGGGUGACCCUAAGGAUAGUGCAACAGAAAAGAAACCGCCGCGUAAGCGGUAAGGGUGGAAUGGCAGUGUAAGAGACUACCGCAUGUCUGGUAACAGAUAUGGCUGUGUAAACCCCAUCCGAAGCAAGACCAAGCAGAAAGCGUUUGAGCCGGCCCGGUUAGCUUUCAGGUAGGUUGCUUGAGGGAUAUGGCAACAUAUCUCCUAGAUAGAUGAUCAUUCACGACAGAACCCGGCUUACAGUCCCACUCGA